rnacentral:rRNA from 1 species
CAGCGGUCCGGCCGGGAACUCAAAGGAGACUGCCAGUGAUAAACUGGAGGAAGGUGGGGAUGACGUCAAGUCAUCAUGGCCCUUACGACCAGGGCUACACACGUGCUACAAUGGCAUAUACAAAGAGAAGCGACCUCGCGAGAGCAAGCGGACCUCAUAAAGUAUGUCGUAGUCCGGAUUGGAGUCUGCAACUCGACUCCAUGAAGUCGGAAUCGCUAGUAAUCGUAGAUCAGAAUGCUACGGUGAAUACGUUCCCGGGCCUUGUACACACCGCCCGUCACACCAUGGGAGUGGGUUGCAAAAGAAGUAGGUAGCUUAACCUUCGGGAGGGCGCUUACCACUUUGUGAUUCAUGACUGGGGUGAAGUCGUAACAAGGUAACCGUAGGGGAACCUGCGGUUGGAUCACCUCCUUACCUUAAAGAA